rnacentral:rRNA from 1 species
AGCCCAGAGCCUGAAUCAGUGUGUGUGUUAGUGGAAGCGUCUGGAAAGGCGCGCGAUACAGGGUGACAGCCCCGUACACAAAAAUGCACAUAUUGUGAGCUCGAUGAGUAGGGCGGGACACGUGGUAUCCUGUCUGAAUAUGGGGGGACCAUCCUCCAAGGCUAAAUACUCCUGACUGACCGAUAGUGAACCAGUACCGUGAGGGAAAGGCGAAAAGAACCCCGGCGAGGGGAGUGAAAAAGAACCUGAAACCGUGUACGUACAAGCAGUGGGAGCACGCUUCGGCGUGUGACUGCGUACCUUUUGUAUAAUGGGUCAGCGACUUAUAUUCUGUAGCAAGGUUAACCGAAUAGGGGAGCCGAAGGGAAACCGAGUCUUAACUGGGCGUUAAGUUGCAGGGUAUAGACCCGAAACCCGGUGAUCUAGCCAUGGGCAGGUUGAAGGUUGGGUAACACUAACUGGAGGACCGAACCGACUAAUGUUGAAAAAUUAGCGGAUGACUUGUGGCUGGGGGUGAAAGGCCAAUCAAACCGGGAGAUAGCUGGUUCUCCCCGAAAGCUAUUUAGGUAGCGCCUCGUGAAUUCAUCUCCGGGGGUAGAGCACUGUUUCGGCAAGGGGGUCAUCCCGACUUACCAACCCGAUGCAAACUGCGAAUACCGGAGAAUGUUAUCACGGGAGACACACGGCGGGUGCUAACGUCCGUCGUGAAGAGGGAAACAACCCAGACCGCCAGCUAAGGUCCCAAAGUCAUGGUUAAGUGGGAAACGAUGUGGGAAGGCCCAGACAGCCAGGAUGUUGGCUUAGAAGCAGCCAUCAUUUAAAGAAAGCGUAAUAGCUCACUGGUCGAGUCGGCCUGCGCGGAAGAUGUAACGGGGCUAAACCAUGCACCGAAGCUGCGGCAGCGAC